rnacentral:rRNA from 1 species
GAUGAACGCUGGCGGCGUGCCUAAUACAUGCAAGUCGAGCGAACGGACGAGAAGCUUGGUCCUCUGAUGUUAGCGGCGGACGGGUGAGGAACACGUGGACAACCUACCUAUAAGACAGGGAUAACUUUGGAAACCGGAGCUAACACCGGAUAAUAUUUUGAACCUCAUGGUUGCAAAGUGAAAGUUGGUCUUGCUGUCACGUAUAGACGGAUCCGCGCUGCGUUACCUAGUUGGUAAGGUAACGGCUUACCAAGGCAACGAUGCAUAGCCGACCUGAGAGGGUGAUCGGCCACACGGGAUGUGAGACACAGUCCCGACUCCGACACGGGGCAGCAGCAGGGACUCUUCCGCAAUGGACGAAUGCCUGACGGAGCACCGCGGCGUAAGUCCUGAAGGACUUCGGACCGUAAAACGAUGUUAUUCGGGAGAAACAUAUGUGUAAGUAGCUGUGAACAUAAUGACGGUACCUACUCAGAAAGCCACGGCUAACUACGUG